UAUAACAAAAUUUAGUAACUAAGUAUUUCUCUAAUGAUUCCAAACACAAUUGACAAAUUCCAAACAUUUAUUGUGAAGACACAAUGAUGUAUUUUCCGGUGAUAGCAAUACACGGGGAAGAAGGUUUUACUCUAAUUUUACCAACAGGGGGCGCUCGAAGCGCAUGAUAAUGGACAAUGCCAGUUUUACAAAAAGUCACUUUUCUUGAAGUGCAGAAGUCAUUCCUGUGUUGUUCCUGGAUGCGUGUCUGUAUUUAUUAUUUUCUGUUUUUUCCCUUUCUUUUCAUUCAAUUUUAUUUUUGCUUUUGUUGGUAUCAUAAUGGGGAGGUAUUUCUUAGAUGUGCCCAGGUGAGACCUCGCUGGCCACCAGAAGUGAGCACUGACACUGUUGACUGAAUCAGGAGCGGUUCCUGGAGCUUCAGCUGAGAAGAAAUCAAAAAAGAAGGAAAAGCUAAUAUUGCUUGUCACUGAAUCAGCCUGUGGGUGUGAAGAUGAUGCAUGCUGUCCUGCAUCUUAUACCUUUGCACAUUAUUCUUUGAGGACCGUCAGCAGGCUUCUCUGUGCUGGACCAUCGGCUUUCCUGGGACCUCUCUCUCUCU